CUACCUGUCCUCUCCUGAUCUCUUUCAAUCCAUCUUGACUCGUGUCUCUGACUGCCUCUCUUCGAUCUCCAACUGGAUGGCUGCUCACUUCCUUAAACUCAACCUGUCCAAAACAGAACUUCUGGUCUUUCCUCCCUCAAGUGUUACUACUCCUGUGUCUGUCUCCCUUCAAGUCAACGGCGCUACCAUCACCUCUACCUCACAGGCUCGCUGCCUGGGUGUUCUUUUUGACUCCAACCUCUCCUUCACCCCUCAUAUCCAAUCAAUCACCAAAUCCUGCAGCUUCCAUCUCAAAAACAUCUCAAAAG